UGUAGAAAGAAAGAGAGGGAGAGGAAGAAUUCUCAAGAAGAAAAAGAAGAAAAAAAUAAGUUUUGUGCUUUGGAAAAGGAAGGCUUAAGCUUACAUUUAGGCUCAAGGACGUCGUUAGAGCCCGACAAAUCUUAAAGAAAGAGUUAGCUAGCUUGGAAGUAAGGACUUUCGACUUCCUCUGGAGCAAAACAUAAUCAAAUGGACGAAUUUUGGAGUAAUUCCAAUUGGAGGACGUUCGUGAGUCACUUAGCUUGAUCGUAUCAAAAUUUCGGAUUUUUUGUACCAGCCAUCUUGAUUAACUUUGACGCAUUGUCACUA